GGGGUUGUAGCUCAGUGGUAGAGCACUUGCCUCGAAUGUAAGAGGCCCUGGGUUUAAUCCUCAGUAUCACAU
rnacentral:tRNA from 1 species